rnacentral:rRNA from 1 species
UACAGAGGUCUCAAGCGUUGUUCGGAUUCAUUGGGCGUAAAGGGCGCGUAGGCGGCGGGGUAAGUCGGGUGUGAAAUCUCAGGGCUCAACCCUGAAAAUGCACUCGAUACUGCUCUGCUUGAGGACUGGAGAGGAGACUGGAAUUCACGGUGUAGCAGUGAAAUGCGUAGAUAUCGUGAGGAAGACCAGUGGCGAAAGCGGGUCUCUGGACAGUUCCUGACGCUGAGGCGCGAAGGCCAGGGGAGCAAACGGG